UUAGCCAUUGGUGCAUUAACAAUUGUUACGAACUCCAUCUCAUCCUCCUCCCCUCGCCGCACCUCCUUCAUCAGUGGGACCAUGGAUGAGUUGUCGUCCAUUCCAGCACGUUUCUGUUGAAAAAUAUUUGAUUAGUGUCUUAUUUGUUUCAGAUUAUCAUCAAAUCAGAUUCAGCGAAUCAUACUAGAGAACUUGAUCAAUAGAUUAUUGUCAUAAUCUCAACUUGACAUCAUCGGAUUGGCAUUCUCUGCAUAGAGCUCGUGCGAGUGAGAGCGAAGCAUGCUACAAGGCGAAAAAAAUUCAAAUUUCUCCCCUACAACACGUGCUCCCACAUCGUUAUCAACAUCAUUCAGAUUUCAUUUUCUCAACACGGCUUCCGACCUCAUAACCAGUUGAGCUCUUGUCGAGGCAACACACCUGAGAGGUUAACAAGCAAUCUGAAAGGAAGCAUAGCCACCUGCGCAGUCGAGGAGAUACCUGUCAUUCAUCAACCAGCAUCAACCAGCACAUGUAAGUACAUUUUUACUUUGA